GGGACUGAAGGUUAUGGCCUUAGAUAUGGGGACUGAAAUUCAAGGACAUAAUAAAGCUCUGGAGCAUGUCGGUGAAGAUGUGGAUGAGAUAAAUUUCCGGAUUAAAGGUGCCAAUCAACGUGGGCGUCGUUUGCUGGGGAAGUGAAGGCCGUGAAGUUGUAUAGCUUGCUGUAGACAUGCUCACUGUACUUGACUUGGGUUCGCACAACCCCUCUCUGAGUCUUCUCUGUAAUCUCAUGUUUACUAGCUGUGUAAUGGAUUUGAAUUCAGAUAUUGCUAUAAUACCUCCUAUUUUUGUAAGCUCUUUUGUAUAUAAUGGAAAUUAUGAUGUUUCAUUGCAGAUUUUCAA